rnacentral:lncRNA from 1 species
CCUGUCUGUUCAGAUUCUUUUUGGCCUCUCUGUGUGGCAAUCCUUCCUCCCAGCUAUAGAGCAGAGACCUUCUGGAAUGAAGAUCUUAUGAUCUACUUUCAGACAUGGCAGCUCAGAGAAUUUCUUUACAGCCAGCUCUUGCCCAGAAAGGGCAUCCCAGCUAAGAACUCAUGAAGGGUAGAGAGAAAACUGUUUUUCCUCUCUUUCAUUUUGGGGGGCUGUUCCCAGAGAUCAAAGAUGAGCCCUGCAAACUGGGUGACCACUGUUGUUGCCCAGGCUGGAGUGCAAUGGCGCGAUCUUGGCUCACCACAACCUCUGCCUCCUGGAUUCAAGCGAUUCUGCUGCCUCAGCCUCCCAAGUAGCUGGGAUUACAGGUGCCCACUACCACACCUGGCUAAUUUUUUUGUAUUUUUAAUAGAAACAGGGUUUCACCAUGUUGGUCAGGCUGGUCUCGAACUCCUGAACUCAUGUGAUCUGCCCCCCCCUCACCCGCCCCUUGGCCUCCCAAAGUGCUAGGAUUACAGGCGUGGGCCAUGACCUGCUUUUUAUUAUCAAUCUAUAAUUAUAUGUAUUGUUCCUAUAUCAUUAAAUAUUCUCCUUUGAC